GACGAACGCUGGCGGCGUGCCUAAUACAUGCAAGUAGAACGCAGUUGCGAACGGGUGAGUAACGCGUAGGUAACUGCCUCAUAGCGGGGGAUAAUUAUUGGAAACGAUAGCUAAUACCGCAUACUGUGAGAUGGACCUGCUUUGUAUUAGCUAGUUGGUGAGGUAAAGGCUCACCAAGGCGACGAUACAUAGCCGACCUGAGAGGGAGAAUGGCCCAACUUGGACUGAGAAACGGCCCAGAAUCCUACGGGAGGGAGGAGUAGGGAAUCUUCGGCAAAUGACGGCAAGCCGACCGCGCAACUGCGCGUGAGUGAAGAAAGUUUUCGGAUCGUAAAGCUCUGUUGUUAGAGAAGCGUUAACUAACCAGAAAGGGACGGCUAACUACGUGCCAGCCGCCGCGGUAAUUC
rnacentral:rRNA from 1 species